GCGUCAGUGGUGCAACGGGUUAACUCACACCCCUCGGAUAGUGUGAAGUGCGGGUUCGAGUCCCACCUGGCGCA